rnacentral:pre_miRNA from 1 species
AGUGGAACUGCUGGAUUAUAUGGUAGUUCUAUUUUCAGUUUCUUAAGGAAUCUCCAGACUGUUUUCCAAAAUAGCUGUACUAAUUUACAUUUCUACUAGCAGU